rnacentral:rRNA from 1 species
UACGUAGGGGGCAAGCGUUGUCCGGAAUCAUUGGGCGUAAAGCGCGUGUAGGCGGCUCGGUAAGUCUGCUGUGAAAGUCCAGGGCUCAACCCUGGGAUGCCGGUGGAUACUGUCGAGCUCGAGUCCGGAAGAGGCGAGUGGAAUUCCUGGUGUAGCGGUGAAAUGCGCAGAUAUCAGGAGGAACACCUGUGGUGUAGACAGCUUACUGGACCACUUCUGACGCUGAGACACGAAAGCGUGGGUAGCAAACAGG